AACGAACGCUGGCGGCAUGCCUAACACAUGCAAGUCGAACGAGACCUUCGGGCCUAGUUGCGCACGGGUGCGUAACACCUGGGAACCUGCCCUUAGGUUCGGAAUACCUCCCCGAAAGGGGUGCUAAGACCGGAUAAUCUCUUCGGACCAAAGAUUUAUCGCCUUUGGAUGGGCCCGCGUUGGAUUAGCUAGUUGGUAGGGUAAAAGCCUACCAAGGCGACGAUCCAUAGCUGGUCUGAGAGGAUGAUCAGCCACACUGGGACUGAGACACGGCCCAGACUCCUAGGGGACGGAGCAGUGGGGAAUAUUGGAGAAUGGACGAAAGCCUGAUCCAGCAAUGCCGCGUGAGUGAUGAAGGCCUUAGGGUUGUAAAGCUCUUUUACCCGGGAUGAUAAUGACAGUACCGGGAGAAUAAGCUCCGGCUAACUCCGUG
rnacentral:rRNA from 1 species